GUUGCAUCGCAUAAUGUGUAAAGGAAACAACAUGUUGAUUUGUUCUUUGGUAAAUUAACCACGUGAGUUAAAACUGUGUGCAGCAUCCUGGCUGAGGAAUUCCUGUCUAGCCGUGAAAAGUAUGAACAAGAGGCCGAAAAACACACAGAGGAAACUGCUGCUACAUCACGGGAUGAUAUGGAAAAGAAAUUUGUGGAUCCUGGGAAACAACACGUACCGCCUCAUCUAAUCUGUCCACUCACCAACAAGCUGUUUGUUGAUCCAGUGGAAACAAUUAACGGAACAGUGUAUGAACGAAAGGCCAUCGAAAAACACCUCAAAAAACACAAACAUGAUCCGAAGGGUGACCCAGCAAAACCGCUGACCAAAGCUAAUCUCAAACCAGCCAAUGAAAUGAAGAAAAUGGUGACGGACUACCGUUCUAAACAACUUCGGUAAAAGCUGUCGAUAAAAGUUGUAGCUACAGUGGUGGCAUCACUUCAAUAUACAGUAAAUACAGGGUGUCACUUGUCAAAUAUGGAAAUCAUAAGAGAUUAGUUAUUGGAGUUACUGAUAGCAAGUUCACGUUCACAUGAUUAUCACAUGUAAUGCAUUAAGAAAACGUAAUCAAAAUGAUUUACUAUUAAUUACUG
rnacentral:lncRNA from 1 species